rnacentral:rRNA from 1 species
GACGAACGCUGGCGGCGUGCUUAACACAUGCAAGUCGAACGGAAAGGCCCUGCUUUUGUGGGGUGCUCGAGUGGCGAACGGGUGAGUAACACGUGAGUAACCUGCCCUUGACUUUGGGAUAACUUCAGGAAACUGGGGCUAAUACCGGAUAGGAGCUCCUGCUGCAUGGUGGGGGUUGGAAAGUUUCGGCGGUUGGGGAUGGACUCGCGGCUUAUCAGCUUGUUGGUGGGGUGUGGCUUAACAAGGCUUUUGCGGGUAGCCGGCCUGAGAGGGUGACCGGCCACAUUGGGACUGAGAUACGGCCCAGACUCCUACGGGAGGCAGCAGUGGGGAAUAUUGCACAAUGGGCGGAAGCCUGAUGCAGCAACGCCGCGUGCGGGAUGACGGCCUUCGGGUUGUAAACCGCUUUCGCCUGUGACGAAGCGUGAGUGACGGUAAUGGGUAAAGAAGCACCGGCUAACUACGUG